AAAAACUUCACUUCCAUUCUCAUAUUCUCUCAAGAUUCUCUCAAUUUAGUCCAUGUUCCUUCCAAGUGUUGAGCAUGAGUUUUGGCAAGAUCUUGAAGUGUCAAGAAGGUGUUUGCUUGCAAGAACUAGAUCUUUCUCUCUUACUCACCAUCUUCUAGGGAAAGCAAAAAAGUUCUUCGCUACAGCUUUGAUCGACGGGUCUGGGAUGACAAAUUUCUUAACAUAUCACGACGCUUGAAGAAAGUCGGGCAGGCACACGACAUAGGUGAUAGAAGGGUUAUAAUCACUCACGAAUAACUACAACAAACAUCUAUUGGUUUCAUAAUACCCUCUUUAGUCUUACACGAUUAUGAAACUUUAUUUUCACACUCGAUAUAAGUAAAGAUUUACUAUUGUAUUAUGGUUUUGAUGGUUUUAAAACUACAUCUAUCUUUAAGAAAAUUAUGUUUUUUCUUGUUACGAACACUACUAGUUUUACAAAUAAAUUCUCAGUUUUGUCAAUACAAAAUCUUAUGAACUCACCAGCAUAAUGUUCACACUUUCAAAACCGCUUGUAUUCUCAGGUAAUCAUUAGUCGGAAGAGACUAAGCUUUUGGGAAGUGACACGAAAGCAUCAUGCUUGUUUAUUUUGUUUUCAUACAGUAUGUUGAUUCGAAAAAUUAACAUUUAGAACAUGUAACUUAUCUAAUUAUAAUGUAUGAUGGUUGUUUACGCACUAGU